AAAAUUAUAGAGGAGAUUCAAUACCUGAUUGAUGUGUUUAAGAAAAAAGAAGGUAAGGCGUUUGACACCACCCAGCCUGUGAGCUACACUGCCUCCAACGUCAUAUGUUGUUUUCUGUAUGGGCAAAGAGUUGAUUAUGAUGACGAAGACUUCAGAUCUAUGGUGGACCAGACCAGAAGGAAUACUCAACUCUCUCGUCUUCAGUACAGUUAUACAACAGCUUUCCAAGGCUGUUCAGGUGGCUCGGUGCCCGAAAGCAACUGAUGAAGGGUGCCUUUGCAAAUCGGACACUUGUGGCAGAGAGGAUCAAGCAUUUAGAGGCUGAUCCAUCCUCUGAAUCCACACAUGAGCAGAGGUUUUGUGGAUUCCUUUCUGGUGCGCAAGAGAGAGCUUGAGGUAUAGGCAUAAUUAUUUUUCCUAGAAUAAAGAUAGAAAGUGGGUCAUACUGCAAA